AGGAUUCAUUGAUAGAAGUUUAUGGAGUUUUGAAUGUGAUAACGAUCAAAAUACACCCCUUUGCUCCCAAGGUACUGUGAGAAUCAAAGUCAUUAAACAACGUCUGAAUUGGGAAAAUGCCUAUGACUAUUGCAAAUCUCACCACACACGCCUGCUGUGGAUUCAGGAUUCGAAAGAUGAGGAGGCUGUCGGACAGUGGCUAAAUCACACUGAUGUUACUGGUCCAUUCUGGAUUGGUCUGAGGCAGAGUCGAGUUUUUGGAUUCUGGAUUUGGACGAGCGACAGGAUAGUGACCAACAACAACUGGGAGAACGGCACACAACCUGAGCUUCCCUUGUCGAACCACUGUGGUGUCAUCAAAAACAACUUCAAGUGGAGUGAUGAAAACUGUUUAUUUCAGCUACCUUUUCUUUGUGAGGAGGAAAUUGUAUACAUGAAUAAAUAGUUUAAAAGGUUCGUUGAUGGAUUAGCUUUAAAUGCAGAAUCAGUGUGGUGUCGAUGCCUGAUCAUGGAGAUGGAAGUCAACCACAUAACCCUUGGUAUUUUCCUUUACUGCUCAGAAUCCUAAUGGAUGUUUUUCUUUAAUUCAAUUGGUACAAAAUAAUCACACAUUUCAGAUUUUUUUUAAAUAUAUAUAUAUAUUUGGAAGUGUUUUUAUAUUAUUAUUAUAUUCUGAAGAUAAGUUAAUUAUAUGUUUGUACUUAAUUUAAAUGAUUCAUUGGUAUCAACAAAAGAGAAAACAAAAUGUGGUAGAAAUGAAUGAAUUUAUUUCAUGCUUGUAAUGACUGUAUUUUUCACUCGGGUCUUACUCUGUGUCACUUAAAACAAUCAAACAAGGUUUGUAUAUCUGUUUGUAAGCAACCCCACUUGGGCCCCUGUUUUAGCAGUAAUAAUAUAAAUAUAUAUUCUACUUUUGUAUUCACAUUUACAACUUUUAAACCAACUCCAAAUAUUUUAUACUCUAAGAUGUGCUUUGUAAGUCUAAGUUGUAAAUGUGGUAUGAUACAGUGUGGAGCAGCACAUACACAGAAGAUCUCAUAGAAGAUGUCAGUUAAUGUUUGCUGUAUGCCUUAUGUUUCACUUUCAUGAGUUUUUUUGUGUAACUUCUGGGUAAAUUCAUUUCUAGAUAAUUUAGUUGUUUGCAAUAAAAGACAAUACAUUUCAAAUCCAA